AAAUGUGUACAUGUAACUGUGUACAAGACUUACAUUUUCGUAUUGGUAUCGACACAUUUCUGUUCUAUUAAUCACACUACACAUUUGAUAGAGAGGUGAAUUUCAACGAGGCGAUGCCAGGUAUUCAAUUCAACCAACGGCAAGGUCCAAAAGGGACGCAAGCAGUACAGACGACCAAUCAGAACAAAGCUACGAUCUCCAGCCAGUCGUCAUCAAGCCCGCCAAACACGCAGACCACGUUGAGCCACCACCUGAACUGAGGUCGUCCUUGGAUGCAGAAUUCCUCAAAAAAUUUCAAGGCGGCGCUCGUGGAAAUAGACGCAGACGUCAAUCUUUGUCAACCUAUUACAUCGACAUCACAGCUUUCUUGGACUACACGGCAUACAGUAGAUUUCUUGCUAAGGCAUCUUACGACGCUGACGUCGCAAUGCAAAAAAUACAAGAAUACUUCGCUUUUAUAUUUGCUGGGGUAGACCUCAUUUAUCAAAACUUUGAAUCAAGCAGUUUUAAACUACGGGUUAGUUUGACCAAAAUUGUAGUCUUAAAGAAUGACAGAACGCUACCGCUGGUCUACAUUCAAAGUUGUUCU
rnacentral:sRNA from 1 species